rnacentral:rRNA from 1 species
AACGACUCUCGGCAACGGAUAUCUCGGCUCUCGCAUCGAUCAAGAACGUAGCGAAAUGCGAUACUUGGUGUGAAUUGCAGAAUCCCGUGAACCAUCGAGUCUUUGAACGCAAGUUGCGCCCGAAGCCUUCCGGCCGAGGGCACGUCUGCCUGGGCGUCACGC